UACGAAGGGGGCUAGCGUUGCUCGGAUUGACUGGGCGUAAAGGGCGCGUAGGCGGUUCGUACAGUCAGACGUGAAAUUCCUGGGCUCAACCUGGGGGCUGCGUUUGAUACGUGCGGACUUGAGUGCGGAAGAGGGCCGUGGAAUUCCCAGUGUAGAGGUGAAAUUCGUAGAUAUUGGGAAGAACACCGGUGGCGAAGGCGGCGACCUGGUCCGAUACUGACGCUGAGGCGCGAAAGCGUGGGGAGCAAACAGG
rnacentral:rRNA from 1 species